UAGGGAAUCUUCGGCAAUGGACGGAAGUCUGACCGAGCAACGCCGCGUGAGUGAAGAAGGGUUUCGGAUCGUAAAGCUCUGUUGUUAGAGAAGAACGUUGGUAGGAGUGGAAAAUCUACCAAGUGACGGUAACUAACCAGAAAGGGACGGCUAACUACGUGCCAGCAGCCGCGGUAAUACGUAGGUCCCGAGCGUUGUCCGGAUGUAUUGGGCGUAAAGCGAGCGCAGGCGGCUCUUUAAGGCUGAAGUUAAAGGCAGUGGCUUAACCAUUGUACUCUUUGGAAACUGGAGGGCUUGAGUGCAGAAGGGGAGAGUGGAAUUCCAUGUGUAGCGGUGACAUGCGUAGAUAUAGGGAGGAACACCGGUGGCGAAAGCGGCUCUCUGCUCUGUAACUGACGCUGAGGCUCGAGCGCGUGGGGAGCAAACAGG
rnacentral:rRNA from 1 species